GAACCUCUGCCCGUAGUCGUACAGGCGGCCCUGGCCGCUCAGGGUGCUGUAGAUGUUGGUGAAGGACAUGCCUGUGGGCACUCGCUGCUUGCCUGCGGGACGCAGGUCCGGCUGGCAGCUGCUUAGCGAGAUGGUGGGCGUCGAGUGGUGCUCUUUGAAGGUUCUGAAACUCCUUCUCCUCCUCUUUGAGGACCUCCAGCUGCUUCAGUACUGAGUCUUGUUGGAAUUCACCCCGGUCCAUCUACAACCCAGAAACGGCCGCUCAGUGGAUUGGAGAUAGAGCAUCUCACUUGGAUGAUUCCAUUCAAUCCAUGGAGCAUGUACUGAAUUGUGGGCCAGGCGUACGCAGAUUGAGGUGCAUGAAGAUAUAGGUGUACGCAUCAGGGAGCUGGAUCUGUAGAUAAUUAUAGGACCUCGGCUGCUGGGCACUGAAGGCUUAAUGAAGGUUUUUGGAAAGAAUCACAAUGCAUAACUACCUGUGAGAUGCUGGCAACAAGGGCCACACCUGUUAUUCAUAGCAAUGACUUGAAUGUCCUAAGGGUUAUCUUCUUAGCAGAGGCCAAAGAACCUAGGGGCAAGGAUCACUUCCUGCUUCUCUUUGGGUCCCCAGCACACCCGGUACAGCGCCUUGUAUAUCGUGGUCAUUGACCAGAAUGGUUUUGGAACGGAAUCAUAGGCAAUCAUCUUGAUUUGUCAUGCCUAGCGCAGUGCCCAGUACAUGGUAGGGCCGUCACAAAUGUCCUGUUUCUGUUGGAUGGAUGAAUGAAAUGGCAUAGCUCUAAAUGACUGAAAAUUAAAAUAACAGACUGAAGGUGGAGAAUGAAGCAUGCUUGGCACACAGUGGGUACAUGAAUCUGAAUAACCACAGUGAUGCUUAUUUUGUGGCACACAGAUGCCUCCCCGGCGUCCCUUCUGCACGUGACAUGAUCUAGGACAGGCUCCCACCCACUCUCUGAGCUGGGACGUUUCUUGUUCCUUGUGACUCACUUUCUUGGUCUCUUUCUGGAGCCUCAUGAAUCAACCAGAGGGCUUCCAUACUGUUUCAUUCCAGCCAGUGCUCUGGUUCUGCCUGGAUUAGAGUUCUUUCCUCCCAGAUUCAACUUCUAAGCCUGCCCCCCCAUCAGGCUUAGAAGAGCCAUACAGGGGCCUGGGGGUAGAGGGAGUCGGGGAACUAAGGUCUCCCCAACGGGAGGCUUAGGGACAAAGCCCUCAGCAGGUCCCUCCCCCUCCACCCCACCCAACCACACACACCCUCUUAAGCGACUGCUGAGCAACCCGCACUCUUUUAGAGACAGUCUGAGGCAACCAGAAGUGAAGGGAAUUUAAGGCCCUGUUUGGGAUGGAGGACAGGCCAGGGUCCUUCCACACCAGCCUUGAUGAAACCCAUCUACGGAGACCCCCAUCCCUUCCCGGAUCUAGGCUCUGGUUUCCACUCUUGUGACGUCAGGCGUCAGGCACUGUGUUAGGCCUGGAGGAAAGAGACAUGCAAAGACUUGGGAACGUGCCCUUGGUGGAACUCCGAGAAAACUGGGGGGCUGACACGUAAGCAGAACGAUGCACUAUAAAAGAGGAGCAGGCAAAGUGUUGGGGGGAGAGCAGGAAGUGCGUGGCUCUUCCUGCAGGGGGAGGGCAAGGACAGACAAUUAUGGAGGAGGUGACAUUUGAGCUGAUUCUCAUAGGAGAGUGUGAAAUUCAACAGACAAAACCAACAGGCAGAGGGAAGAGCCUGUGGAAAGCCUCCAAGGUAAAAAAAAGACUCCAAGGCCAGGAACUGCAACGUUUUGGAAUGUCUGGAGGGCUGGGUGCGUUUCGUAGGAAGAUGGGGCUGGAAAGGCCAGCAGCCACCUCUUGAUGAAGGAAGGGCCUGCUGACAUGCUUGGCGGUCGGACUUUAUCUAGUCGACACGGGGAGCCACCGAAGGAUUUUAAGCAGGCUAGUAACAGGAUCCGAUUUGCAUUCUAGAAGGACCCUUUUUGGUGGACUCUGGAGGGUGGGCUGAAUCAGGUGGUAAAAAAAAUAAAUAAAUAAGGUGGUGAGACCACUAAGCCAUUGUAGUAGUCCAGGGAGCCACGAUGAGGCCCUAGUAGGGAAGUGAUGGUGGGAUAGAGGCAAGGGCACAUAUUUGAGACAGUUUUUUGAGGUGCAGUUGAAAGGACCUGAGAAUGAGAAUUAGAAAGAAAAAGACCAAUGAGGAAAAUGUCUGUUCGAUUCAAUAAUGUCGGUGAGCAUCUACCAGGAACUGUGAGGCUCUGAGACACAGGGACGAACAGGCAGCUCGCUCACCGUCUAGUGGAGACAGGUAAGGGAAGGGGUGAUUUCAGAGCCACACACGGUGGCUCACGUUUCUUGAGCACUUAACUGUGUUCCUUGGGCUCCAAGCCCUUUCUGCGUUUACCCAUUCAGCUGUCACCACCUCCCUGUGCUCUAUGACUUUCAUCCCCACUUCACAGAUGAGGAGACUGAGGCACAGAGAAGUCCAUGCUCUCCACGCCCUUGCCUGCUGCUGCUACUCCAAGGUAUUUUAACCAUGACAUAGUAUGCACUAGAGUUUUCUAGCAUGGCUUUCCAGAUUCCUGCUCAUAUAACUGGGUGGAUUACUGUCUAUCAACGGGAAUCAGGAAGAGGAGGGGCAGGCUUAGGUUUGCUGGAAAAGUUAUGAGUUUGCUUCUGGUAAGCAGUCUAGUUUCCGAAGAGGAACCUAUGUUUCUUGCAGACUUUUUGGGGGGAAGGGGUGGGGGAGGGGCAGGGCAUGUACCAAAUAUCUAUAAUAUUCAUGUGUGUAUAGAAUUAUGUAUAGAAUACAUAUGUAUUCUAUACUGCGCCUGGGUGGCUCAGUUGGUUGAGUGUCUGAUUUCGGCUCAGGUCAUGAUCUCACCGUCCGUGAGUUUGAGCCCCGUGUCGGACUCUGUACUAACAGCUCAGAGCCUGGAGUCAGCUUCGGAUUCUGUGUCUCCCACUCUCUCUGCCCCUCCCCUGCUCAUGCUCUGUCUCUCUCUGUCUCAAAAAUAAAUAAAAACAUUUAAAAAAUUAAAAAAAAGAAUUAUGUAUUAUGCAACAACAACGUUAUGGCAAUUUAUGCAUAUGUCUUGUCUCUCUACCGAAUAGUCAGGUUCUUUGAAAGCUGGGACUACAUCUUCGAGUCUCCCAGAACACCAAGUGCAAUGUAAUAGACGGACGACAACUCAUUGUUGGCUGAGAGUAGGUGUCUGACCUAUUAUGGGGGGGGGAGGGCACAUCUUGACUGAUGCUCUACUUCUGGAGAGCAUCCAGGCGACCAAGAAGCCUCUGGAACCAGGACCUUCAGGGCAUCGAGAUCGGGGUGGGGUCGGGAUAAGAUGGCGUUCUCACCAUCAGCUGCUUGAUGGUAGGGUGUUCCUCAGCCUCCCGACCAGACGCAGGCUCUUUGUGGACAAUCUCCACUCGGAUGUCAUUCUUGGCCGACACAACCCCUUUGAGAUCUGGACGUAAAAUAGGCAAGGACAGAUGACAGGUUCAGUCCUCAUCCUCAGGUGUUAGGGCCUGAGAUGUUGAGCCCCUGCCGCCCCCGCCACCCCCAGGGCUUACCCUUCAGUCCCUGAACUCAGUGGCUUCAGGCUCCCCGCACCGCCCCCCCCCCCCCCCCAAGUAGAACACCCGUGUGGACGUGCUGUGGGCUGUUGGGGCCUCAGCUCUCUUCCUCUGUUGGCCCUACUGCAUGCAUUUCGGCCUCUCGCUGCUGUUGUCCUGGCUUCAGACGCCAUCCACAUCCAUUUGCUUUACAGAGCUAGGUGCUUUUUAUCCCUCUCAAUUCUCACCUUCUUCUAAAAGUCUUCUCUGGCCUACUCUACCAGGCUCUGAUCUCUCCACAUAGUCACAAAUCUUACUGGUAGAAAGGACCUCAAGGUCCUGGGGCCAACCCCCCUUGCCCAAAGCGGAAACAUCACAUGGACCACAUGGGGUGGUCCAGUUCCUAUGUCAGUGUUUUCACAGUGGAGGUGUUAACGCCUUCUAGAGGGGGCGGCCCAUUAAUCCUCUGGAGAGCUCUGUCAGAAAAUUCUUGCUAAAACAUUCUCCCCUGUAAUUUCCACUGAGAAGGGGGUGAGGGAGCUUCUAGGACCACCUCACUGGGGGAAGUCAAGAGGGCCAAGGCUGCGGAAUUUGCAGCGGAGGAAACCUCGUGGGGGACAUCCAGCUUUCUUCUAGUACAUGAGAGCUGCCGAGCGGUAAUCAGGCUUACUCUGAUUAUUCAUUUUGUGCCUUAGAAUCAUAGAACGUUAGAGCCCGGGGGGCCACAAAUGUCACACCAUGUCAUCCCUUGCUGUUAGACAUGAGGAAACUGAGGCCUAGAGUAAUGGUGGCUUGCCCAAGCUCACAUGGUGGGAAAAGGUAAGGCUAGAAGACCAUGUCUCCACUGUUUUCCUCCACUCAGCCAUCCCGUCGGACGCUUCCACGCGUGUGUCUGUCGCACGAAACGUCAGGGUGUUUCCGGGGUGAAA